AUGAAAUACCUGGGUUUGCCGUUGUCGAUCAAAAGAUUAAAUAGAAUCCACUUCCAACCCCUCGAGGAUAAGAUUGCAGCUCAACUUACGCCUUGGAUGGGCAAACACGUCGCAUCGCCUGGAAGGGUUGUGCUUGUCAAGUCGGUUGUAACGGCGAUUGCUAUAUAUUACUUCACGGUGCUAAACCUCCCCGUAGAGGUCAUGAAAAAGAUCGACUCCCUGCGGCGUGCAUAUCUCUGGGCUGGUUGUGACAAGGUUUCUGGUGGAAAAUGCAAAAUCAAUUGGGAGCAAGUGUGCAAAUCUAAAAUGCAUGGUGGCCUAGGUAUUCUCAACUUGGAAAAAUUUGCUACUGCCCUUCGCAUUCGGUGGUUGUGGGGAGCUUGGACGGAUCCAAGUAAGCCUUGGGUAAACUUGGGGAACCCGUGUGAUGACAAAGAUAAAGACAUAUUUGAUGCUGCCACCAAGGUUCUGAUUGGAGAUGGGAUAAGGGCUUCGUUUUGGGAGUCUGCUUGGCUGAAUGGUAUGAGACCCAAAGACAUCGCGCCAAAUAUUUUUGCGAUCUCUGCAAGAAAAAACUGCACUGUCCAGAAGGCCUUACAUAAUAACACAUGGGUCUCCAAAGUGGACAUUGGUGGGAACCUUGAUGUGAACCACAUAGCUGAGUUCGUCAACCUUUGGAGUGAGUUAUCACACAUUCACCUCAACCCCGGCGUGGCUGAUUCAAUUUCCUGGAAGCUCACCAGUGAUGGCCAAUAUUCAGCGGCGACGACAUACCGCGCACAAUUUCUUGACCUUACCGACUCAGAUAUGCCUCUUUUGGUCUGGAAGAACUGGGCUCCUCCCAAAUGCAAAUUUUUUGCUUGGUUGGCCAUCAACAAUAGGAUUUGGAUGGCAGACCGGCUUCAGCGUAGGGGUUGGCCCAACUGUAACCUUUGCCCGCUAUGCAAACAAACGCCAAAAUCAGCAGUUCACCUUCUUUUCCAAUGUCGUUACACGGUUAAAGUUUGGGAAUGA
rnacentral:rRNA from 1 species